UUGGAGGGCAAGUCUGGUGCCAGCAGCCGCGGUAAUUCCAGCUCCAAUAGCGUAUAUUAAAGUUGUUGCAGUUAAAAAGCUCGUAGUUGAAUUUCGGGAUCAAUUUAUUGGUCGUGCUAUUGUACGUACUGGUAUUAUUGAUUCCUACCUUCUGACGAACCACGAUGUCAUUAAUUUGGUGUCAUGGGGAAUCAGGACUGUUACUUUGAAAAAAUUAGAGUGUUUAAAGCAGGCUCACGCUUGAAUACAUUAGCAUGGAAUAACGAAAUAGGACGUUUGAUUCUAUUUUGUUGGUUUCUAGGAUCGACGUAAUGAUUAAUAGGGAUAGUUGGGGGCAUUAGUAUUCAAUUGUCAGAGGUGAAAUUCUUGGAUUUAUUGAAGACUAACUACUGCGAAAGCAUUUGCCAAGGAUGUUUUCAUUAAUCAAGAACGAAAGUUAGGGGAUCGAAGACGAUCAGAUACCGUCGUAGUCUUAACCAUAAACUAUGCCGACUAGGGAUCGGAUGAUGUUAAUUUUUUAAUGACUCAUUCGGCGCCUUACGGGAAAC
rnacentral:rRNA from 2 species